UCUCAAUUCCUUGAUUUUAUUCGGAUAAUUGACUUCUUUUUCUUUUCUUUUCGCAAUUGCUGUGGCUGUAUCUCUUCAUCUCUUUGAGCUCGUCGCUGGCACAAUUAGAUACUUGAGAUGCUGGUGGACGAGGCAAAAAUCUUGCUAGGCUUUUCCACUAAUUCUUGCCCCACUCCUUGUCAGGUCAAAGCUGCUUAUAGAAGGAAGGUAUGGGAAACUCAUCCGGAUUGCUUUCCAGUUCAUCUCAAACCUGGUGCAGAACUCAAAUUUAAGAUGAUUUCAGAAGCAUACACUUGCCUGCUUUCUGGCUGCCAUUUUGCCAAAUAUGCAGUAACCCGAAUUUCUAGGGUGGCAAACACUAAAUUUUGCCCCAAGAUAAAUAUGGUACAAGACAGGAAGGUCAACAUGGUGUUGGAUAUUCACGUGUUGUAAGAAGUGGAGUUCCUAGAGGAGGGAGGAAAAAUCAUCCACUGAUUGGGAUUCCCUUUCUUUUUAUUAUUUUGGGAACUGUAACAUUGGGAGGAACAAAUGUUGCCAGGGCCUACAGAAAACAGAGGGCGGAUUGUCCUUCUCAUAAUCCUUUUCUCCCUUGAUUAUUCGAAGUUUCUGCAACAUUGUGUACGUAGUGGCAUGGUAUGUACAGAUAUGGUGCGGCGUUAGUCCUCUAUGAAAAUGUAGCUGAUCCAAUAAACUUCAAUGAGUCUCAUUCGCAGCACGUGUUAAGUUGUGUUUGUGAACUUUCAAAUGUAAUUCUGAAGUUGUUCAUUAUGUAAAUUAGAUGAUAGUUUAGGUGAAGGAUGCUUUCAAAGUGAAAAAUGUUAGUCUUUGUUCCAAUUUGUCUCUGUAUCACAUGAAAAGAGGAAGAGCAAUUAGAACAGAGCAUGACAUGUGAUAAAACCCCAUAAUAUCGGGUUGAUUCGGUUUUUAUCAAAAUCUAACCAAACCAACUAUAUGGAUUGGUUCGGCUUUGUCGGGUUUUUCGGAA